CUCCAGUUAGCCUAGCGGUUAAGGCUACGGAUCGCCAAUCCGGAGACGGCAGGUUCGAUUCCCGUUCUGGUCG
rnacentral:tRNA from 1 species